CACAUUGAAACACCGGUUUUCGUUCAAUCACUGAAGUUAAGCAAUACUGAGCCUGAUCACUACCUAGAUGGGCGACUACUUAGGAAUACCAGGUGCUGUAAG